GUUUUUUCACUGUUAUGGUGCAUUUGGUUAUGCAUCUAGCAACAGAGGCAAAAGUAGGUGGCCCAGUGUGCUACCGUUCGAUGUGGUUUGUGGAAAGGUAUAUAGGUAAGUUGAAGUCGAAUGUCCGUAACAGAGCUCAUCCUGAAGGAUCUAUCGGCGAAGCAUUUUUGGCAGAUGAGUGCAUGACAUUUUGUUCAAGAUAUAUUAUCGGUUUUGAGACUAAGCAUAACUUGGCUUCGAGGAACGAAGAUGACGAGGAGUGGGUUGGGAAUCAUGAUAUUGCACAUGGAUCAAGAUUAUUUCCUCAUUCUGGCAAUCCACUUGGAAGGCCUAGGAAUUAUGUUCUGAGCAGUGUGGCUAAAGUACAGGCACAUAGAUAUGUCUUGUUCAAUUGCUCCGAUGUGAACUCAUACCUUAGAGCUCAUGCUGAUGAGAUAACUAAUGGACGCAAUUUAAACCUUGAUGUUGUUGAGAGGAUUCAAAACGAUAAGUUCCACGAAUGGUUCCAAGCUCAUGAUGUGACGUACUAUGGGAGGGUAAUUGAUAUUGUCGAGCUAAAUUACUCUGGACAGUUUUCAGUGGUGUUGUUUAGAUGUGAAUGGGUUAAUGUGUUCUGAGAAAAAGGAAUGAAAAAAGACAAGUACGGUUACACACUUGUCAAUUUCUCACAUCAAAUACACAAAGGAGAAAAGAUUGAGCAUGAGCCUUUUAUUUUCCCUAACCAGGCGAAUCAAGUGUUCUGUGUGAAAGAUGAAUUGAAUCCAGGUUGGUUUGUGGUAAUGAAGUUGCCAAAGCCUAGAGAUGUAUAUGACUUAGGUAACUUGGAAUGGGAAGAGGAGACAGAAAACCAGCCAUUUCAUGUUUCACAGCUUGGAGAGAUUUUGAAAAGAAAGAACAAUGACCAACACUGGGUUAGAACAGACGUUGAGGGGACAAUAGUGGAUGCUACUAGUGCUUCGAGCAUCGAAGAAUAGUUGAGGUUAGUAGCAACAAGGUAUGCACUAUGUUCAGGUUUCGACUACAUGCUACAUGGAGGCAUAGAGGGGGUGGUGGCAUGUGUGCUUUGUGUUGGUACAGAACUGCUUGGUGGCUUCGUGCAGAGUAGCUAACAAACUUGCUUGACGAUAUACUAAUGUGUGAGACUAUGUGUUGGUCAAAACUUAGUGUACUCUUAUAUUUAUGCUUGAUAAUUUGGUUCGCUAUGACAGCACGUGCUUAUCUGGAACUUCAUUUUGUACUUUAAUCAACAACAGUUCAUAAUUGAGAUACACGCAACUUGUUUGGAAA